rnacentral:rRNA from 1 species
GCUCCGCUGACGAGUGGCGAACGGGUGAGUAAUAUAUCGGAACGUACCCAAGAGUGGGGGAUAACGUAGCGAAAGUUACGCUAAUACCGCAUACGAUCUAUGGAUGAGAGCAGGGGACCUUCGGGCCUUGUGCUCCUGGAGCGGCCGAUAUCUGAUUAGCUAGUUGGUGAGGUAAAGGCUCACCAAGGCGACGAUCAGUAGCUGGUCUGAGAGGACGACCAGCCACACUGGAACUGAGACACGGUCCAGACUCCUACGGGAGGCAGCAGUGGGGAAUUUUGGACAAUGGGCGCAAGCCUGAUCCAGCAAUGCCGCGUGAGUGAAGAAGGCCUUCGGGUUGUAAAGCUCUUUUGUCAGGGAAGAAACGGCUGUGGCUAAUAUCCACGGCUAAUGACGAUACCUGAAGAAUAAGCACCGGCUAACUACGUGCCAGCAGCCGCGGUAAUACGUAGGGUGCAAGCGUUAAUCGGAAUUACUGGGCGUAAAGCGUGCGCAGGCGGUUUUGUAAGUCUGUCGUGAAAUCCCCGGGCUCAACCUGGGAAUUGCGAUGGAGACUGCAAGGCUAGAAUCUGGCAGAGGGGGGUAGAAUUCCACGUGUAGCAGUGAAAUGCGUAGAGAUGUGGAGGAACACCGAUGGCGAAGGCAGCCCCCUGGGUCAAGAUUGACGCUCAUGCACGAAAGCGUGGGGAGCAAACAGGAUUAGAU